UACGUAGGUGGCAAGCGUUGUCCGGAUUUACUGGGCGUAAAGAGCGCGCAGGCGGUCGGAUAAGUCGAAUGUGAAAGCCCCCGGCUCAACUGGGGAGGGUCAUUCGAUACUGUUCGACUCGAAGGCAGGAGAGGUGAGUGGAAUUCCUAGUGUAGAGGUGAAAUUCGUAGAUAUUAGGAAGAACACCAGUGGCGAAGGCGGCUCACUGGCCCGGUACUGACGCUGAGGCGCGAAAGCGUGGGGAGCAAACAGG
rnacentral:rRNA from 1 species